UUGACCUCGGAUCAGGUAGGGAUACCCGCUGAACUUAAGCAUAUCAGUA
rnacentral:rRNA from 2 species